rnacentral:rRNA from 1 species
AUUGAACGCUGGCGGCAGGCCUAACACAUGCAAGUCGAACGAGUGGCGGACGGGUGAGUAAUGUCUGGGAAACUGCCUGAUGGAGGGGGAUAACUACUGGAAACGGUAGCUAAUACCGCAUACCAUCGGAUGUGCCCAGAUGGGAUUAGCUAGUAGGUGGGGUAAAGGCUCACCUAGGCGACGAUCCCUAGCUGGUCUGAGAGGAGUACCAGCAACAUUGGACCUGGGACACGGUCCAGCCUCCUACGGGAGGCAGCAGUGGGGAAUAUUGCCAAAGGGGCGAAAGCCUGAUGCAGCAAUGCCGCGUGUAUGAAGAAGGCCUUCGGGUUUUAAAGUACUUUCAGCGGGGAGGCGUUACCCGCAGAAGAAGCCCCGGCUAACUCCGUGCCAGCAGCCGCGGUAAUUC